rnacentral:rRNA from 1 species
UGCCUACGGGAGGCAGCAGUGGGGAAUAUUGGACAAUGGGCGCAAGCCUGAUCCAGCCAUGCCGCGUGAGUGAUGAAGGCCUUAGGGUUGUAAAGCUCUUUCACCGGAGAAGAUAAUGACGGUAUCCGGAGAAGAAGCCCCGGCUAACUUCGUGCCAGCAGCCGCGGUAAUACGAAGGGGGCUAGCGUUGUUCGGAAUUACUGGGCGUAAAGCGCACGUAGGCGGAUAUUUAAGUCAGGGGUGAAAUCCCGGGGCUCAACCCCGGAACUGCCUUUGAUACUGGGUAUCUAGAGUAUGGAAGAGGUGAGUGGAAUUCCGAGUGUAGAGGUGAAAUUCGUAGAUAUUCGGAGGAACACCAGUGGCGAAGGCGGCUCACUGGUCCAUUACUGACGCUGAGGUGCGAAAGCGUGGGGAGCAAACAGGAUUAGAUACCCCUGUAGUC